rnacentral:tRNA from 1 species
GGGUCGGUGCCCGAGUGGUUAAAGGGGGCGGAUUGUAAAUCCGCUGGCUUAGCCUACAUUGGUUCAAAUCCAAUUCGGCCUA